GUGCCAGCCGCCGCGGUAAUACGGAGGGUGCGAGCGUUGUUCGGAAUUAUUGGGCGUAAAGCGCGUGUAGGCGGCCUUUUAAGUCUGAUGUGAAAGCCCCGGGCUCAACCUGGGAAGUGCAUUGGAAACUGGAAGGCUUGAGUACGGGAGAGGGUAGUGGAAUUCCGAGUGUAGGGGUGAAAUCCGUAGAUAUUCGGAGGAACACCGGUGGCGAAGGCGGCUACCUGGACCGAUACUGACGCUGAGACGCGAAAGCGUGGGGAGCAAACAGGAUUAGAAACCCUAG
rnacentral:rRNA from 1 species